rnacentral:rRNA from 1 species
UUCCUACGGGUGGCUGCAGUGGGGAAUAUUGGACAAUGGGCGCAAGCCUGAUCCAGCCAUGCCGCGUGAGUGAUGAAGGCCCUAGGGUUGUAAAGCUCUUUCGCCAGGGACGAUAAUGACGGUACCUGGAUAAGAAGCCCCGGCUAACUUCGUGCCAGCAGCCGCGGUAAUACGAAGGGGGCUAGCGUUGUUCGGAAUCACUGGGCGUAAAGCGCACGUAGGCGGAUUUUUAAGUCAGGGGUGAAAUCCCGAGGCUCAACCUCGGAACUGCCUUUGAUACUGGAAGUCUCGAGUCCGGGAGAGGUGAGUGGAACUGCGAGUGUAGAGGUGAAAUUCGUAGAUAUUCGCAAGAACACCAGUGGCGAAGGCGGCUCACUGGCCCGGUACUGACGCUGAGGUGCGAAAGCGUGGGGAGCAAACAGGAUUAGAUACCCGAGUAGUC